rnacentral:rRNA from 1 species
UAGGGAAUCUUCCGCAAUGGACGCAAGUCUGACGGAGCAACGCCACGUGAGUGAAGAAGGAUUUCGGUUCGUAAAACUCUGUUGUUAGAGAAGAACAGCGCAUAGAGUAACUGUUAUGCGUGUGACGGUAUCUAACCAGAAAGCCACGGCUAACUACGUGCCAGCAGCCGCGGUAAUACGUAGGUGGCAAGCGUUGUCCGGAUUUAUUGGGCGUAAAGCGAGCGCAGGCGGUCAAUUAAGUCUGAUGUGAAAGCCCCCGGCUCAACCGGGGAGGGUCAUUGGAAACUGGUUGACUUGAGUGCAGAAGAGGAGAGUGGAAUUCCAUGUGUAGCGGUGAAAUGCGUAGAUAUAUGGAGGAACACCAGUGGCGAAGGCGACUCUCUGGUCUGUAACUGACGCUGAGGCUCGAAAGCGUGGGUAGCAAACAGG